rnacentral:rRNA from 1 species
AUUGAACGCUGGCGGCAGGCCUAACACAUGCAAGUCGGGCGAGUGGCGGACGGGUGAGUAAUGUAUGGGGAACUGCCUGAUGGAGGGGGAUAACUACUGGAAACGGUAGCUAAUACCGCAUACCAUCAGAUGUGCCCAGAUGGGAUUAGCUUGUAGGUGGGGUAACGGCUCACCAAGGCGACGAUCCCUAGCUGGUCUGAGAGGAUGACCAGCCAAACUGGAACUGAGACACGGUCCAGACUCCUACGUGAGGCAGCAGUGGGGAAUAUUGCACAAUGGGCGCAAGCCUGAUGCAGCCAUGCCGCGUGUAUGAAGAAGGCCUUCGGGUUGUAAAGUACUUUCAGUCGGGAGGCGUUACCCGCAGAAGAAGCACCGGCUAACUCCGUGCCAGCAGCCGCGGUAAUUC